GAUGAACGCUAGCGGCAGGCCUAACACAUGCAAGUCGAGGGAGGAGCCUUCGGGCUUCGACCGGCGUACGGGUGCGUAACGCGUAUACAAUCUGCCUUUCACAUAGGGAUAGCCCGAAGAAAUUUGGAUUAAUACCUAAUGGUAUAUAGAUGUGGCAUCACCUUUAUAUUAAAGCUGAGGCGGUGAAAGAUGAGUAUGCGUUCUAUUAGCUAGUUGGAGAGGUAACGGCUCCCCAAGGCGACGAUAGAUAGGGGUUCUGAGAGGGAUAUCCCCCACACUGGUACUGAGAUACGGACCAGACUCCUACGGGAGGCAGCAGUGAGGAAUAUUGGACAAUGGUCGGAAGACUGAUCCAGCCAUGCCGCGUGCAGGAAGACGGCCUUAUGGGUUGUAAACUGCUUUUGCAGGGGAAGAAUAAGGACUACGCGUAGUUUGAUGACGGUACUCUGCGAAUAAGCAUCGGCUAACUCCGUA
rnacentral:rRNA from 1 species